rnacentral:rRNA from 1 species
ACAUCCAGAGAACUUAGCAGAGAUGCUUUGGUGCCUUCGGGAACUCUGAGACAGGUGCUGCAUGGCUGUCGUCAGCUCGUGUUGUGAAAUGUUGGGUUAAGUCCCGNAACGAGCGCAACCCCUAUCCUUUGUUGCCAGCGAUUCGGUCGGGAACUCGAAGGAGACUGCCGGUGAUAAACCGGAGGAAGGUGGGGAUGACGUCAAGUCAUCAUGGCCCUUACGAGUAGGGCUACACACGUGCUACAAUGGCGCAUACAAAGAGAAGCGACCUCGCGAGAGCAAGCGGACCUCAUAAAGUGCGUCGUAGUCCGGAUUGGAGUCUGCAACUCGACUCCAUGAAGUCGGAAUCGCUAGUAAUCGUAGAUCAGAAUGCUACGGUGAAUACGUUCCCGGGCCUUGUACACACCGCCCGUCACACCAUGGGAGUGGGUUGCAAAAGAAGUAGAUAGCUUAACCUUCGGGAGGGCGUUUACCACUUUGUGAUUCAUGACUGGGGUGAAGUCGUAACAAGGUAGGCGUACGUGU